rnacentral:rRNA from 1 species
AUUGAACGCUGGCGGCAGGCCUAACACAUGCAAGUCGAACGAGUGGCGGACGGGUGAGUAAUGUCUGGGAAACUGCCCGAUGGAGGGGGAUAACACUUGGAAACAGGUGCUAAUACCGCAUAUUGAUGGAUGGACCCGCGGUGCAUUAGCUUGUUGGUGAGGUAACGGCUCACCUAGGCGACGAUCCCUAGCUGGGCUGAGAGGAUGACCAGCGACACUGGAACUGAGACACGGUCCAGACUCCUACGGGAGGCAGCAGUGGGGAAUAUUGCACAAUGGGCGCAAGCCUGAUGCAGCCAUGCCGCGUGUAUGAAGAAGGCCUUCGGGUUGUAAAGUACUUUCAGCGAGGAGGCGUUACUCGCAGAAGAAGCACCGGCUAACUCCGUGCCAGCAGCCGCGGUAAUUC